rnacentral:ncRNA from 1 species
GGAGAAUUGCGAGAAUCCAACCCUAGUACGAGAGAACUGGGUUGGGAUAACCUAUGGUGUACCGAUUGUUAUGCCAAUAGCAGCGCCGGGUAGCUAAGUUUGUAUGGAAGAACUGCUGUGCCUCAGGAAAUCCUUCUCUAUACAAGUUCUUGGAUGAGGUUUUUGAAUAGAACUUUGAUAGGUGAGAGGUGUAAGCACCACGAGGUGUGAAGCAAUCUCGUACUAAACAAAACA